rnacentral:rRNA from 1 species
AGCGAACGCUGACGGCAGGCUUAACACUUGCAAGUCGAACGCCCCGCAAGGGGAGUGGCAGACGGGUGAGUAACACGUGGGAACGUACCCUUUGGUUCGGAAUAACUUGGGGAAACUCAAGCUAAUACCGGAUAAGCCCUUAUGGGGAAAGGUUUACUGCCGAAGGAUCGGCCCGCGUCUGAUUAGCUAGUUGGUGAGGUAAUGGCUCACCAAGGCGACGAUCAGUAGCUGGUCUGAGAGGAUGAUCAGCCACACUGGGACUGAGACACGGCCCAGACUCCGACGGGAGGCAGCAGUGGGGAAUAUUGGACAAUGGGGGCAACCCUGAUCCAGCCAUGCCGCGUGAGUGAUGAAGGCCUUAGGGUUGUAAAGCUCUUUUACCAGGGACGAUAAUGACUGUACCGGGAGAAUAAGCCCCGGCUAACUUCGUGCCAGCAGCCGCAGUAA